ensembl:lncRNA
UUGGGUUUGAGAGCGUAAGAACAAUGCUUUCAAAAGAGUUAUAGUUUAGUUUAGGUUUAGGAUUGAUUAAGAGGUUUGAGUCAUGUCGACCACCGGAAACACCCGACGCCGUGUUUUGAUGUCACAAGUAUAAAAUAGUCCACCAGUUGAAUACACAGACAGCACGGCAGAAGCGGCAGACGUGGCGAUGUCGGACUCUGGCUCAGAUAUUUCGACAGAAUCGAGUGACAGUGAGUUGUCAAUAGACUCGUUGCACCUUCAAGAAGAGGAGUUUAUUGAAGAGGAUGCCGGUGUCGUGGAUUUAGAUCAUGCGGGUGAGUUUAACGUGGUAGAAACAGAGCAUCUCGAGACACAGUAUUCAAGAUGGAGACACAGACGGGAGCGAACAUGCGGAUGAUGGUGACGGUGAUCCUGGAUUUGGCGGAGAUCCUGUGCGACAACAGAACACAGACAGGUGUACAUGUGAAAACUGUACAAUUAUGCAAGCAAUUGAAGAGCUGCUGCCAAGAAAAGGAUGUCAUGGAGGAAUUCAAUGAAUAUGAGGGACAUGGUGCAAACAUAACCUGCAUAACAGAUCAACCAGGAUUCAAAUCAAAUUGUCUGGAUGUUUGGGUGUUGCAGACAGCCUACCAAAGGUAUUCGAAGAGGGACAGACAACAAGCAGGUGAUCGGCCACGUAAUGAGUAAGUUACUUGUGUUCACAAAUGUGUAGAGCUCAGAAACUUUGAUGUAUUUUUGGGGAGUCGAAUGGUCACUCUGGCAAAGUUACAGAAUACAUAGAUAAAUAAGCAAAUAAGGUUGAAGUGAUUACCAUUGACAUGUAUUAUCUUGUAUGUUACAGAAUGUAUCCAAUCCAAUGUACCGCCGGUGAGAUUUUGUUGGGGAAUACUUGGUAAGAACCACAGAAUGCCAUCAUGUGCCAUUCAAAAGAUCUGUAGCUACGUUUCCAUCUGACAACUACACGUCGUUCAAGUAUCAGCACUUUAUUAGAGUCAAUAACAAAACACAAUGUCAGUUCAGUGAUUGAAUCUGCUUCUAUACAGCACAACAACAUCCCUCUUGUUUGGUUCGUCCACCGACUGCUGAGUGGAGCUGGGACUUCGAAAGGUUCCUCAUCAACAUUGUCUUGGCACAAAGCGUAGAGUCUCGGUCAAGAGUUCAGUAACAUACUCUGCAAAAAAAGAUGUUUUAUAAUCAAGCAUUAUAUAUAUAUGUAUGUGUGUAUGUGUAUGUAUAUAUAUAUAUAUAUAUAUAUAUAUAUAUAUGUAUGUAUAUUAUGAUGCUGACCUUUGGAACAACCAACUUGGAUUGGAACUUGCAGUCCAGCUGACCUGACACGUGGUCGCGCCUGCAUGGACUUGUGGUGUGUCCGUGGAGGGGGAUCCAUCUGCACAGCAAUUUCUUUCUGACAUGUCUGAAAUGUACAAAACACAACUUUACUAAUAAAUCUUUCAAACCAGCUUGAAAUUGUAUUGCAUGUUUAUACAUGUCUGCGUAAGGAAAAUAUCUAAUAACAUUCAUAAUAAAAGAUGUGGUUGAAUUGAUUGAGAGAGCAAUGAUAUCAAAUUAAACAAAUAUAUGAAUUAUGUACAUGCAUGUGGUGAUUGUAUGUUUAACACGUAAUGUACCGGUCUACUGGUACUGCAACUGUAAUGUACAGAUGACGUACAGUCUGUAUACUUACUGGUGUACACACAGCUUCCUCCUCAGUGUGGAUGUCCAAUAGAUGGUCGCUGAUCAUACAGGUAUCCUCAGUUCUGUCAGUGGCUUCAUUCACCAAUGUUUCAAUACCUCUGUAAUAAUAGGGUGAUAGUUAAAAGUUAAAUAGACUCAAUAACAUAACAUAUGUAGGUAUGUAGGUAGGUAGGUAGGUAGGUACUUUAUUCAUCCCGAGGGAAAUUUAGGAAAAAUUUACAUUACAGUGUACAUUUGUAUGUAUGUAUUUGUAUUGUAUUAUGGCUUUAUGCUUGAAACAAUAAAUACAGUAAACAAGUAGCACGGCUUACCUUUGCUCUCUCCCUUUUGGCGAAUGCAUCUCGAGCAUAGUUUGUUUGAAACACGAUCUCUCAAAGUGCUGCCCACAAAUCGUCGGUUUCAUCAACGCACUUGUCUUGUUCAUAAACGCGACAUUUUAUCAUCUUUUGGCCACAGAAAACUAGAUUUGGAGACGGCCCCACAUCCCCAUACAACACAUCGCUUCACAAUUAUCCUUGACGAUCGUUUGUUGUUUAGAUAUCUGUGUGUUUACUGUUGCACUGGGGUCUGUAUGGUCCGUGUAAUGUUAUGUUUUGAUAGUUUGUAUGUUGGAUUGGGUCCGGGUGGCAGAGAGUCGAGAUAGUACAACUUCCCCGGAGGGGAGAGUGCAGCGGCUCUGGCGGCUCGGAUUCGGCCAGCGAGUCACAGCAGGCUGAUGAAGCGCUGGGUCUAAUCUGUGUAACGGCAGAAACAGAAAGUUUGACGAUCCAUCGGAUAGUCGAUGCUAACUGCUCACUGCUAACGGAAGAUAUGUCCAUUUCCCAGCCACCGCACACUCAACUUCUGGCGAACCAGCCUUUCCGUGGCCGGUGAGGACGAGGCGAGGGUGUGAGUUGUUUUCUCGUUUUUUGCCCCUUUGGAUUGAAUCAAAACAAACAAUCAAAACGUGCAGGGAUCAUGGAUGUAAUGUUGACAAGCCUUGAGUCGGCCCGAGUCAGACAGCUGUACCUCUUCUCUCUCUGUACUGAGGCAGACUGCAGCUACAGUGACUCACUAUCACCUCUAGAGGAACAAGUGGUAUUACAGACUGGACGGAGCGCAGCUAG